AACGAACGCUGGCGGCAGGCCUAACACAUGCAAGUCGAGCGCCCCGCAAGGGGAGCGGCGGACGGGUGAGUAACGCGUGGGAACGUGCCCUUUGCUACGGAAUAGCCCCGGGAAACUGGGAGUAAUACCGUAUAAGCCCUACGGGGGAAAGAUUUAUCGGCAAAGGAUCGGCCCGCGUGUGAUUAGGUAGUUGGUGGGGUAAUGGCCUACCAAGCCGACGAUCCAUAGCUGGUUUGAGAGGAUGAUCAGCCACACUGGGACUGAGACACGGCCCAGUCUCCUACGGGAGGCAGCAGUGGGGAAUCUUAGACAAUGGGCGCGAGCCUGAUCUAGCCAUGCCGCGUGAGCGAUGAAGGCCUUAGGGUUGUAAAGCUCUUUCGUGGGGGAAGAUAAUGACUGUACCCCAAGAAGAAGCCCCGGCUAACUCCGUGCCAGCCGCCGCGGUAACAC
rnacentral:rRNA from 1 species